GGUGACGAUAUGCAGUGCGCGCGUGGAGGAGGUAGGGUGCGGGAGGUUGCCGGAGGUAGUGGGCGGAGAGAGCGUGUGGGAGGUUUGUAGCGUCAGGUAGGAAAAGCCGAGGGUCACGCCGGGGCGUGUAGUGGGGAGGGGGAGACUAGAGUAUGGUAGGGGGGAUUGGAAGUCCUGGUGCAGCGGUGAAAUGCGCAGACAUCAGGAGGAACACCGAUGGCGAAGGCAGGUCACUGGGCCGCUACUGACGCUGAGAAGCGAAAGCAUGGGGAGCGAACAGGAUUAGAUACCCCGGUAGUC
rnacentral:rRNA from 1 species